rnacentral:rRNA from 1 species
ACCUGAUGCAGCCAUGCCGCGUGUGUGAAGAAGGCCUUCGGGUUGUAAAGCACUUUCAGUUGUGAGGAAAAGUUAGUAGUUAAUACCUGCUAGCCGUGACGUUAACAACAGAAGAAGCACCGGCUAACUCCGUGCCAGCAGCCGCGGUAAUACGGAGGGUGCGAGCGUUAAUCGGAAUUACUGGGCGUAAAGCGCACGCAGGCGGUUUGUUAAGCUAGAUGUGAAAGCCCCGGGCUCAACCUGGGACGGUCAUUUAGAACUGGCAGACUAGAGUCUUGGAGAGGGGAGUGGAAUUCCAGGUGUAGCGGUGAAAUGCGUAGAUAUCUGGAGGAACAUCAGUGGCGAAGGCGACUCCCUGGCCAAAGACUGACGCUCAUGUGCGAAAGUGUGGGUAGCGAACAGGAUUAGAUACCCUGGUAGUCCACACCGUAAACGCUGUCUACUAGCUGUUUGUGGCUUUAAGCCGUGAGUAGCGAAGCUAACGCGAUAAGUAGACCGCCUGGGGAGUACGGCCGCAAGGUUAAAACUCA